UGCGUAGGCGGAAAAUUAAGUCAGUGAUGAAAUCCUGCAGCUUAACUGUAGAACUGUUAUUGAUACUGAUUUUCUUGAAUAUAGUUGAGGUAGGCGGAAUGUGUAAUGUAGCGGUGAAAUGCUUAGAUAUUACACAGAACACCGAUUGCGAAGGCAGCUUACUAAGCUAUUAUUGACGCUGAGGCACGAAAGCGUGGGGAGCGAACAGGAUUAGAUACCCUGGUAGUCC
rnacentral:rRNA from 1 species